GUCCUCUCAGGGUCACACCUGGAGAGUUUCCAGUCCUCUACCAGUUUAGGCUAUAGGAGAGAGAGUCAAGCAGAGGCCUACCCACUCCAUUCCUAGCUUGGCCAGUGGCUAAUGAGUGGAAGACAAUCUACUACAAGU